rnacentral:rRNA from 1 species
UGGCGAACGGGUGAGUAAUACAUCGGAACGUGUCGAGAAGAGGGGGAUAACCACCCGAAAGGGUGGCUAAUACCGCAUAAAUUCUGAGGAAGAAAGCUGGGGACCUGGGAAUAGGCCUAGCGCUUUUUGAGCGGCCGAUGUCGGGUUAGCUAGUUGGUGAGGUAAAGGCUCACCAAGGCGAAGAUCUGUAGCGGGUCUGAGAGGAUGAUCCGCCACACUGGGACUGAGACACGGCCCAG